GAUGAACGCUGGCGGCGUGCCUAACACAUGCAAGUCGAGCGAGAAGCUCGUGACGGACGCUUCGGUUGAAGUCACGAGUGGAAAGCGGCGGACGGGUGAGUAACGCGUAGGCAACCUGCCCUUUGCAGAGGGAUAGCCUCGGGAAACCGGGAUUAAAACCUCAUAAUACCGCAGUGAGACAUCUCACGGCGGUCAAAGAUUUAUCGGCAAAGGAUGGGGCCUGCGUCUGAUUAGUUAGUUGGUGGGGUAACGGCCUACCAAGGCGACGAUCAGUAGCCGACCUGAGAGGGUGAUCGGCCACAUUGGGACUGAGACACGGCCCAGACUCCUACGGGAGGCAGCAGUGGGGAAUAUUGGGCAAUGGGCGAAAGCCUGACCCAGCAACGCCGCGUGAAGGAAGAAGGUCUUCGGAUUGUAAACUUCUGUCGUCAGGGACGAAAAGGACGGUAACCUGGCAAGAAAGCCCCGGCUAACUACGUGCCAGCAGCCGACGGUAAAAGUACUCUAU
rnacentral:rRNA from 1 species